AGAGUUUGAUCCUGGCUCAGGAUGAACGCUGGCGGCGUGCUUAACACAUGCAAGUCGAACGAACCUUCGGGUUAGUGGCGGACGGGUGAGUAACGCGUGAGAAUCUGCCCUCAGGAGGGGGAUAACAGUUGGAAACGACUGCUAAUACCCCAUAUGCCGAGAGGUAAAAUGAAUUUUGCCUGGGGAUGAGCUCGCGUCUGAUUAGCUUGUUGGUGGGGUAAAGGCCUACCAAGGCUUCGAUCAGUAGCUGGUCUGAGAGGACGAUCAGCCACACUGGGACUGAGACACGGCCCAGACUCCUACGGGAGGCAGCAGUGGGGAAUUUUCCGCAAUGGGCGCAAGCCUGACGGAGCAACGCCGCGUGAGGGAUGGAGGCCUUUGGGCUGUAAACCUCUUUUCUCAAGGAAGAAGAUCUGACGGUACUUGAGGAAUAAGCCACGGCUAAUUCCGUGCCAGCAGCCGCGGUAAUACGGGAGUGGCAAGCGUUAUCCGGAAUUAUUGGGCGUAAAGCGUCCGCAGGCGGCCGUUUAAGUCUGUUGUUAAAUCGUGGAGCUCAACUCCAUCACGGCAAUGGAAACUGUUCGGCUUGAGUAUGGUAGGGGCAGAGGGAAUUUUCCGGUGUAGCGGUGAAAUGCGUAGAUUAU
rnacentral:rRNA from 1 species